CCACGGGGGGCUGCAGUGGGGAAUAUUGGACAAUGGGGGGAACCCUGAUCCAGCCAUGCCGCGUGUGUGAAGAAGGCCCUCGGGUUGUAAAGCACUUUCAGUGAGGAAGAACGCCUGGUGGUUAAUACCCAUCAGGAAAGACAUCACUCACAGAAGAAGCACCGGCUAACUCCGUGCCAGCAGCCGCGGUAAUACGGAGGGUGCGAGCGUUAAUCGGAAUUACUGGGCGUAAAGCGCGCGUAGGUGGCUUGAUAAGCCGGUUGUGAAAGCCCCGGGCUCAACCUGGGAACGGCAUCCGGAACUGUCAAGCUAGAGUGCAGGAGAGGAAGGUAGAAUUCCCGGUGUAGCGGUGAAAUGCGUAGAGAUCGGGAGGAAUACCAGUGGCGAAGGCGGCCUUCUGGACUGACACUGACACUGAGGUGCGAAAGCGUGGGUAGCAAACAGGAUUAGAUACCCCAGUAGUC
rnacentral:rRNA from 1 species